GUGAAGAACGUAGCGAAAUGCGAUAAGUAAUGUGAAUUGCAGAAUUCAGUGAAUCAUCGAAUCUUUGAACGCACAUUGCGCCCGCCAGUAUUCUGGCGGGCAUGCCUGUUCGAGCGUCAUUUCAACCAUCAAGCCCCCGGCUUGUGUUGGGGACCUGCGGCUGCCGCAGGCCCUGAAAAGCAGUGGCGGGCUCGCUGUCACACCGAGCGUAGUAGAUUUCAUCUCGCUCAGGGCGUGCUGCGGGUUCCGGCCGUUAAACCACCUUCAUAACCCAAGGUUGACCUCGGAUCAGGUAGGAAGACCCGCUGAACUUAAGCAUAUCAAUAAGCGGAGGA
rnacentral:misc_RNA from 1 species